AACAGUUUUUGCUGAACUACCUCAAAGAGAAGGAUGUGGCAGAUGGAAAUGUCUCGGAUUUUGAUAAUGAAGAAGGUAACUUGUUUAUUUUGGCUUAGCUGGUUUUUUCUUUCUGAAACAGAUUAUUGUAAAAAUGGUGAAACAUCAUUACAGAAAGGGUAGAAAUAAGAAAAGUUACUCAUAACCUUACCAGGCUAACAUAGCUAUUCUCCUGUUUUGUGUAAUCUUUUUCCAUUCUUUUCUGUUACAAAACUGUUUUUCCGUGGUUGCAGCUGUGUACCCUUUUUGUGUUUAGUUAUAAGCAACUCUGCUUAUUGCCGUUGAAUUUUGAUCAUUAACGUUUUAAUAGCUGUUACUAAGUGUCCAUCCCCUGUAGGACAUUUAGGUUGCUUCUGGCUUAAUAAUAACUCUAAUAAACAGUGCUGCGGUGGA
rnacentral:lncRNA from 10 species